rnacentral:rRNA from 1 species
CCUACGGGGUGCAGCAGUGAGGAAUAUUGGUCAAUGGACGAGAGUCUGAACCAGCCACGUAGCGUGAAGGAUGACUGUUCUAUGGGUUGUAAACUUCUUUUAUAUGGGAAUUAAAUGUUCCACGUGUGGGAUUUUGUCUGUACCAUAUGAAUAAGGAUCGGCUAACUCCGUGCCAGCAGCCGCGGUAAUACGGAGGAUCCGAGCGUUAUCCGGAUUUAUUGGGUUUAAAGGGAGCGUAGGUGGAUUUUUAAGUCAGUUGUGAAAGUUUGCGGCUCAACCGUAAAAUUGCAGUUGAAACUGGCAGUCUUGAGUACAGUAGAGGUAGGCGGAAUUCGUGGUGUAGCGGUGAAAUGCUUAGAGAUCACGAAGAACUCCGAUUGCGAAGGCAGUUCACUGGACUGCAACUGACACUGAGGCUCGAAAGUGUGGGUAUCAAACAGGAUUAGAUACCCUUGUAGUC